AAAAUGAUAUGCAAAUAUUAAAAUGACAAGCAUGUAGAUAGUGUUGAUUCAUGGAAAUGUGUUUGUUAAUUAUUUGAACUAAAAAAGAAUAUCAGAAAUUAUAAAAACAUUACAUUAGUUAAAACUAGUAAAAGUGGUUUAUAUAUAUAAUAUGAGACGUAACUUUGAAAUUGGAGAAAUAAAAUAUAAUGUUCAUAAGAUUUUUUAAAGUCAAUUGAGUUCAUAAAAAUGCAUUUUUACAAGCUAGCUCUAGGGAAACAAGGCUAUUUCUUUUAAUAUAUCCACAGAGUUUUUUUUUAACCUGGAAAAAAGCAUUACUUAAAUCUUUCGGUGUUGCUCUGGAGGCCAACUAUUCAAUUAAGAAACAAAUAUAGAGCAAAUCGGAAAACUUUAAACAUGUUGCAAAAUGCUAUGUUCCCAAUAACCCAGCUUAAAUCUGUAUUUUCCUUUGCUUCACAUUUGGAAGAAAUCUGAACUAUUGAUUUGAUUAAAUAAUUAAAGUUGAGUAUUUUUUUUCCUCCCCAAUGUAGCUAGGACUAAAAGCCCUGUUUGUAUCUUGAAACUCUAUUUUUGAAUAUGAGACAAAUGGCAGAAUUUUCCUUUUGCAAGGACAGUUUUGAUACCAUGAUAACUACUUAAGAGUUCUAAUGAGUCCUCCAAAAUCAUCCCUGGUGAUCAUCUCCACAUAUGAAGUACCACGUGUGAAAGGCCUAAUAGAAAGUGGCUAUUUCUUCAGAGACAGCCAAGAAAGAAUGGGGAAAUAUUGUCAUCCUAACCGUUGUCCUUACCGAGAAUAUUUACUCAGGGUAAGUAAGAAGUUUUAGAAAAUCUCCUGCUCAAAAAUAUCCCAAGAAGUCCUUUGAUUCAAAGAUCUGCUAGGAUUAAGCAGGCUGGUUCAUAAAACCUUCUCUGACUCAAGUAAAUCUCUGUAUUUGGAGUUCCUAAAUCAUGUGAUCUGUAAAAAUUUUGGUGACAUGUUGGCUUGAUUCUUUUAAAUUGGAAAUAUAUACCUAUAUAAAAGCCCCAGUCAGGAGGGAGGAAAACGCAGUAAAGAGUAAGGAUAAAGGGAAGAAUACAAAGCUCAGACCAUCUGAAAAAUGUGUUACCACCUGUCUUGUUGUUUUUUUUUUUUUCCUAGUAGUUGGGGAAGCCAUGCGGGAGCUACUGUGCUGGACUUAAUUUUACCUACUGAUGGUUAUUGAAGGUACAGGGAAUUUGAGAGAAUAGGAAUUACCAUGGCAUCUGAAAAUUCGUUGACAUGAUUAGACAAGGAAAGAUUUCCAAAAAUCAAAGGAAACAACCACACAUAUAACUUAUAUACAAAGCUGAAAAGGCAAUAUGGAUAGAAGGGGAUGGGAGACUCUGGAAGUGAAUUUCCAAUUUCAUGAUUGUGAAUAAUUCUUUCCGGGAGCGGAAGGGGGAGGGGGCAUUUUAAAAAGCUAAUGUGGAUAUCCUUAAAUUUUGUCUGAUGAGUGGAAUUUAAAAAUUGUAUUCAUUAAGAUAUUUUAAUUUCAAAAACUCAAAAUUUUAGACAAGUUGCAAGUUCAGUGCAAAGAAUAUUUUUUGUGAAUAUUUUGAGUAAAUUGCCAAUAUGAUGCCCCAUCAUCCCUGAACACUUUGUUUCCUAAAAACAAAGAUAUUAUUCUACAUAUAGACUAUAAAAACACCCAAAUGAUGAAAUUCACACUAACACAGUACUAUCAUUUAAUUCUUAGAUCCCACUCAUAUUUCACCAAUUGUCCCAAGGAUAUCUCUAUAGCAGAAGUAUCCAGUUCAGAGUCAUGCAAUUAAUUUAAUUGUCAUGUGUCUUUAGUCUGAUGAGUUCACAUUUAAAAAGAUAUCUUCUAAAAGGUAAAAAUAAGAAUACAAGAACAAGGUCACAUUCAUAAGAGUGAUCUGUCCCAAAAGGAUAGUGUUAAUGAAGAUAAAAUCUAGAAAUGUAAGUUAUCUUCUAUGCAACAUGAAUGAGGAAGGAGUGCAGGAAGGUGACAGGAUGAUAACCCACGAUGUGGAGAACAGAGAGCUACAUAGCUUUGCAAAUUGGAAAGGGUAAAAUAGACUCCAUUGGCAAGAGCAACUGCAACCUUAGCUAUAAGAGAAGAUAAUUCCAGAGUACUUUCUGAUUUUAGAAACUGUCAGAUCCUGCAUAUUGGAUGUAUACCAUCACUGUUUGUGUAUUUUGAAUAACUAUAAAAAACAGCAGAGGCC
ensembl:lncRNA